rnacentral:rRNA from 1 species
UGGGUGAUCUGCCCUGCACUUCGGGAUAAAGCCUGGGAAACUGGGUCUAAUACCGGAUAUGACCUUGGGGUGCAUGUCCUUUGGUGGAAAGCUUUUGCGGUGUGGGAUGGGCCCGCGGCCUAUCAGCUUGUUGGUGGGGUUAAGGCCUACCAAGGCGCCGACGGGUAGCCGGCCUGAGAGGGUGACCGGCCACACUGAGACUGAGACACGGCCCAGACUCCUACGGGAGGCA